rnacentral:lncRNA from 1 species
GUUGAUGUAAUAAUGUUAAAAACCAAGGGCAAAAAUAUUAUGGCUGAAGUUGGCAUGUCGACGAAGAGCAGGCUGCUUCACCUGCUCCUACGGUGCUUCUUAUAUAGGAGAAUAAGUUUGCAUCUUCAGCUUUGGUUUGGUUUGGUGAAAGUUCUGUCAUUCUUUGGUUGAAGUAUGCUUAAUUGUAGCUACUUUUUUAAUUGAUGUUCACUUGUUUGUUAGCAUUUUGAGAAUUGAUGGGUCUAUACUGGAUGAUAUCUUUGUGAUUUGUGAAUAGUGAAGCUUAUAGUUCAAAAGAACUUUUACAAUGUUGUCACAUAAGGAAAUCUAGUAUAAAGGUGCUAUUAAUGUUGCCUCUAGACUUUUGCUUGUAAUUUAAAGUUCUUACACUAUUUUUGUAGGAGUGUACGAUAUUCUGGGGCUACAUAAGCUUUGUCUUGUUGAUUGUAUCUUGUAAUUUACCCUCAAUAUUAAAUUCUAUAAACUAUCAAAGUAACCUUUGUUCUUUCUCAGGUAAACAAAAUUGAGAAGAAUCAAACUAAUAAACUUGGGACCAAGAAAAAGAAAUGGGUAAGUUUGGUAAAACAUGCAAUACAUAUGGUAUUUUUCAGUUUUAUUACAUAGUUGUAAUUCUCCUUUUUUGUGAUUCUUUGCAGAACUUCUGAAGGAUGUAGAUUAAUUUUUUGCAAGGAAUACUUGGCUUGUGAAAAGAUGGAUCCAUAAAGCCUUGUUGCACAAUUUAUUCUAGAAUUUAAGGGAAUUCAUUUAGAUUAGGAGUGAAUUUGACAUAGUUCCAUGUUAAAAUUACUAUAUCUUUUAUGAUUUAGAUAGAAUUACAUUUAUUUGAGAUAUAACAUAUCAUUUGAUUUGAACUCAAACUUGUAAGGAGACCUUAUUAUGUCGGUAGUAUAUUCUUUAAAUCCAACGUAUAAAGAAAUUUUAUUUUUCAUAUUUGUUAUAUUGUGUAUAAAGAUAGACAUUUAUGAAUGUAUAAAUCGAAUAUAUAUUUG